AUUUUACUNAUCCCAACUCAACCCCACUCCUCCUUACUCCCAGAAAUGAAUGUGACGUAGAGAAACUUAUUUGUACGUUUAUUCAGCCAACUGUCCUACCUUACUCAGACCUUAGUCAGGUUGAUAAAUGUGCAAAGUUUUUAGCGGAUUUUGUCUACUACACUUCAGAGAAGGCUGUGGAUGGUCCAGUAAAUUCUCCUCAUAGAGUGCUCCAAGAGCAAGCUGGGAAUAUGUUUAUAUAU